AAAGAAGUUACCACAAUAUAUUCAAAAUAAAGAACUAUCUGAUGCUUAUCAACAUGCUAUAAGGAACUUUAGAAAUUGGAUGCUUGUAUAUACCUCUCAGCAUCUUUGAAGGGGCACUGAAACUUCAAUCAAAUUUGGAAAAGGGAGCGCUGAACUUUAGACCUGCUUUAAAUGUGCAGAGGUAGGAUUGAGACUUUCUUUCCUUUCUAAAAUACCUCUCAUGAUUCUUAACUACUUUUAUAGAGUCCUUGAGCCUUGAGUCUCAGC
rnacentral:lncRNA from 1 species